AACAAAAACUGAAAAAAGAAAAGAAAAAAUCAGUUUUUGGUCAGUUUGUCACGCCCCAGGUCCACCAUUCUUUCUUUACUUUCUGGAAGUGAGGCGGACAGUUUUUCUCUUUUUUUAACUUCUCACUUCC
rnacentral:ribozyme from 1 species